rnacentral:lncRNA from 1 species
AAAAGUUAAUUUUAAUAGGCCUGUACAGAUGUGCAUGGAAAAACUGAAAAAAAACCCAGAACAUUUAUAGCAAUUACAAUGAAGUAUGAAACCAUGAGUGGCGUCACUGAGAAGGUGAGCUGCAUUUGUCGGGCCUCCAUAGAGAGGAACAAACCAAAAAAUUUCUGGUGAUGUGCUACAGUUUCUUGCUGCUUCCACGGAUUAGGGCCCAUUGGCAGAGUGAUGUCAGCUGAGACAGAUGCG